AUGCCACGAGAUCCAGAUCAUGCGGUACUCGUCAUGACCUCGUCUACUCGUGGACCAGCGUCCCCCAACCGUCACGGGAUCCAGUCGCGACGAGCCUCCGGUAGUCGCUUGAUGCAGGAUCCAGCAAAAAGGAAUGACGGCGGCCAAGACGAGGAGGCGACGGCGGCGGCCAAGACGAGGAGCCUGCGGCGGCGGCGAGGACGAGGAGUCGGCGUCUGUGACAGCGGCGACGAAGACGAGGAGCCAUCGGCGGUGGCGAAUCUGAGGCCAGGCGAAGAGGAUGGGAGGAGGAGGGAUGGGAGGACGGGGGGUUAA
rnacentral:rRNA from 1 species